CUUAACAAACCAGAUGAGUGGUGUUGCAUAAGUCAAAUACAGAGAAUCAAAAACAUCGUCUCUUCACGACUCACCUACGACGUUUCACAAGACUGAGUUGAAUCCUUACGUUUAUCCUGCCCCUGUCUUCUUCUUUUAUUUCUAUCCGAUAUUCGCAUCCUAAUCCUAUGAUUGAUAUUGGUUUGGUGGCAAAUAUGAUUGGUUCGAUUAAGGACACGCUAGGGAAAUGGGUGAAGUUGGCUGCCGAUACUACCAAGAAGGCCGAGGAUUAGAUAAAUGAUCAUAUCAAUUAGUAAUUGGGAUUUCGUUCCACAGCACUGGUUUUAGAAUGCUUAAACCUGUAAGAGAUGUUACAUGUGAGAGCGCCACGUACAGCUGACCAUGACUGAAAACUGGUUGAGGCGAAAAUAGAGAAGCACUGAUUUUAAGCUCCAAGAGUCCCACAAGUAUGAUUGUUUAAUUGAUGCUAAUACUGUAUCAGCUCGAGAACCUUGUGGAAAAACUGGUAGUGUUUGUCUGAAUUCCCUACCUAGUAGUACAGUCUUGCCUCCAAAAGGUUGGUCUUUAUCUUCUGAGUUUUUUCAUGGACAUCAAGUCUCGUAAUGUCCUGUCAACCGCCUCAAAUGCGUACUGAUGUGCCAUGGGCGCCUCAUCCCAUAUGAUAAGAUCAGUUUUCUCUAUUAGUUAUGCUAACAUCGUUUCUGGCUUUAUAUGACAUAAUGAAUCUUCAUUGAGAUCCAUGGGAAUUUUAAAGCAUGAAUGUGUCGUUCUUCCUGCAGGUAGAAGCGACAGGGAGAACAACUUUUCUUUCUGAUUGCAACUUUUCUGUCUGAUGGAGGAAAAGUUGCAGGUGCCAUUGUAAUUUAAUGAGCUCUCUGAUUGAUCGCGACGAACUAUAUGUUUCGGUGGAGCUAUUGUUUUCAAUGAUAUUGAGCUUGUUCCAUUCUCUGUUUAGAUGGCUAUUUAUACAUGAAAUCUAAAGUAGAAUUUGUAAGCUUUCCUUUUU